rnacentral:rRNA from 1 species
UGGGGAAUAUUGCACAAUGGGCGCAAGCCUGAUGCAGCCAUGCCGCGUGUAUGAAGAAGGCCUUCGGGUUGUAAAGUACUUUCAGCGGGGAGGAAGGGAGUAAAGUUAAUACCUUUGCUCAUUGACGUUACCCGCAGAAGAAGCACCGACUAACUCCGUGCCAGCAGCCGCGGUAAUACGGAGGGUGCAAGCGUUAAUCGGAAUUACUGGGCGUAAAGCGCACGCAGGCGGUUUGUUAAGUCAGAUGUGAAAUCCCCGGGCUCAACCUGGGAACUGCAUCUGAUACUGGCAAGCUUGAGUCUCGUAGAGGGGGGUAGAAUUCCAGGUGUAGCGGUGAAAUGCGUAGAGAUCUGGAGGAAUACCGGUGGCGAAGGCGGCCCCCUGGACAAAGACUGACGCUCAGGUGCGAAAGCGUGGGGAGCAAACAGG